AGUGAACGCUGGCGGUAGGCCUAACACAUGCAAGUCGAACGGCAGCACAGUAAGAGCUUGCUCUUACGGGUGGCGAGUGGCGGACGGGUGAGGAAUACAUCGGACUCUACUUUUUCGUGGGGGAUACCGUAGGGAAACUUACGCUAAUACCGCAUACGACCUACGGGUGAAAGCAGGGGAGCUUCGGACCUUUCGCGAUUGAAUGAGCCGAUGUCGGAUUAGCUAGUUGGCGGGGUAAAGGCCCACCAAGGCGACGAUCCGUAGCUGGUCUGAGAGGAUGAUCGACCACACUGAAAUGGACAGAGGCACCGACCACCCUCGGAAGGCAGGAGGGGGGAAUAUAGAACAGUGGGCGCACGCCUGACCCAGCCAUCCAAGGUGGGGGAAGAAGGCCUGCGGGUUGUAAAGCCCUUUUCUUGGAAAAGAAAAGAAGCAGGUUAAUACCCGGCUGUUCGGACGUACCCCAAGAAUAAGCCACGGCUAAACUCGUG
rnacentral:rRNA from 1 species